UCCGGUUGAUCCCGCCGGACCUGACUGCUAUCGGAUUGAUACUAAGCCAUGCGAGUCAUUGUAGCAAUACAAGGCAUACGGCUCAGUAACGCGUAGUCAACCUAACCUAUGGACGGGAAUAACCUCGGGAAACUGAGAAUAAUGCCCGAUAGAACACUAUACCUGGAAUGGUUUGUGUUCCAAAUGAUUUAUCGCCAUAGGAUGGGACUGCGGCCUAUCAGUUUGUUGGUGAGGUAAUGGCCCACCAAGACUAUUACAGGUACGGGCUCUGAGAGGAGUAGCCCGGAGAUGGGUACUGAGACACGGACCCAGGCCCUAUGGGGCGCAGCAGGCGAGAAAACUUUGCAAUGUGCGAAAGCACGACAAGGUUAAUCCGAGUGAUUUGUGCUAAACGAAUCUUUUGUUAGUCCUAGAAACACUAACGAAUAAGGGGUGGGCAAGUUCUGGUGUCAGCCGCCGCGGUAAAACCAGCACCUCAAGUGGUCAGGAUGAUUAUUGGGCCUAAAGCAUCCGUAGCCGGCUCUGUAAGUUUUCGGUUAAAUCUGUACGCUUAACGUACAGGCUGCCGGGAAUACUGCAGAGCUAGGGAGUGGGAGAGGCAGACGGUACUCGGUAGGAAGUGGUAAAAUGCUUUGAUCUAUCGAUGACCACCUGUGGCGAAGGCGGUCUACCAGAACACGUCCGACGGUGAGGGAUGAAAGCUGGGGGAGCAAACCGGAUUAGAUACCCGGGUAGUCCCAGCUGUAAACUAUGCAAACUCAGUGAUGCAUUGGCUUGUGGCCAAUGCAGUGCUGCAGGGAAGCCGUUAAGUUUGCCGCCUGGGAAGUACGUACGCAAGUAUGAAACUUAAAGGAAUUGGCGGGGGAGCACCACAAGGGGUGAAGCCUGCGGUUCAAUUGGAUUCAACGCCGGA
rnacentral:rRNA from 1 species